CGUUUCUAUGGUGCAGAAAUUAAACUCUUAAACUUGGUAUAAUGACACUAAUUGCUCAUGUGAGCAGAACCCCUGUCAUACCUUCCUGUAUACCUACAGUUAUCAUUUAUUUGCAUGUUUUUAACAUUGCAGGGGACAAAAAUUAGAUCCCGCGGGAGGCAAUAGUACCUUUUGAUCAACCCCUCUGUAGAAUGUGUUUAUGCUUUAUAACCUGCCCCUCCUCCCCCCACCAAUUACCAAUGAUAAUUAUCUGACUACAUUAUCU